rnacentral:lncRNA from 1 species
GACAGAGGCCCUAAGGCUAGAAGGAGGGAAGGCAGGUAAGGAGGGUCCUCCUGGGCUACAGGAGAGGAGCUGAGAGCCUGCAUUCAAGGGGAAGCAGGGAGAACUUAGGAAUGGAUGAGAUAAGUGAGAGGGAUUUUUAGAAGGAAGAAUCCUUAGGUUUGGAUGUGGAACAGGUCAAGAGAAGAAGGACUCUAAGAACUCCUCUCAGUUUCCGGCUUAGACAAAUUGCACAGAAGGUGACAGCAUCAGGUGACACAGUGAAGAUGAACGGGGCAGUCUGGAGCUUGUGUGAAGGCCUUAGGGGACACCUGGGUGACAAUGCCCAUGUAGGCAUUUGAAUAUAGAUGGUCCCUGAAUUACAAUGGUUUGACUUACAUUUUUUUUUUUUUUUUUUACUUUAUGAUGGUGGGAAAGUGAUAUGUAUUCAGUAGCCACCAUACUUCAAAUUUUGAAUUUUAGUCUUUUCCAUGGCUAGUAAUAUCUAGUAUGAUACUCUUUCAAGACACUGGGUCAAGUCAUCAACACAAAGCCUGUCUAUAAUAAAGGAUUGAAUAGCUCAUGUAACUUAUUGAAUACUGUGCUGAAAGUGCUUUGAUCAUGUUUAAGCAAAAAGGAAAAACAAAUGGAAAAAGAACCAGCCAUUGUAUCUGAUGCUGCUUCAAACAUUUCAUCACAGAAGUACAUUGAUAGUUUAAAAAAUAGCUACGCGGGAAGAGAACAUCAGAUGAUGAGAAUAAAAUUUGCAUAAGGCAUCCUACUCCUGGGAGCUGAAAGAAAAGGAGUGAGAAGCUACAUUCCCCCAAGCCCAGAGCAGAAUCUCAGUGUAUUCAUUUCCUGCCCAGCCUCCCUUUGGGGAGAGGAGAGCCUUUUGUUCCUCUGCUGGUGAGGACAGAGUUAACAUGACCCAGAAGAGACACAAUGAAGUCUUUCCCCUCUUCUUAUUCUGGCAUGCCUACUCUUCACUUCAAUGUCUAUUUGCACAAUCAUAAAUUCUGAACUCAGGAGGAUAAUCCCAGCCAAAGUCUACAUGUGCCGGAUACCAUAAUGUAAACUGCAUAUGUUGCAAGAAGCUGUUAAAUGGAACCAG